UCAAAAUACACUGUACUGUCAUCUAUAUCUAAAAAGAAAAAAUUAAAAAAUAAAAAAGAAUUGGGGGAAAUUGUGAGUGAGCAGGUGGGGAAUCUCAGUAAAAAGGAACCAAAUGGAAAUUCUAGAAUUAAAAUUCCAGCAGGUUGGAGUUGGAAGAGCAAACUUGAAGGUAGCCACAUCUGGACAUCUUUCUUUCCAUGUCCUCAUUACUAUUUUGCUCCUGGAAAAUAUACUGCUCUUUCCACAGCAUGGAAAAUGUGGAGAACCCUGUUUCCUGCAACUUGUCUGGUUCUGCCCAGGAAGUAAGGCAUAAGUUUUCUAUGCUUCCAAUCUCCCAAACCUCUUUGAGAUUUUGGGGUGUGGGGUCACAUUUUCUAAGAAAGCUUUGUGUUAAAAUAUAAGCUGUCCUUGUUCUCUUGACCUCCACCCUUCUUCCUUCACAGCCUGUGGAAGUGGCUGGGGACAAAUGGUGAUGCCCUGCUAUUCUUCAUCCUAUCUGACCUGGGUCUCCUAAGCCCAGAAAGUGAAAAAUCUAGAAUUGAGGCCUGUGUUCUUUAUAUUCUGUUAUAUUGUCCUUUCUCUGAGAUUGGAAGCAUAGAACUCCUAGCUGCUGCUAAAGCUGAGGAAAGGUCUGGAAUAUCAGGAAGUACUGGGCAAAAAUACAGAGGUUAAUAUGUCACAUUAUUAUCUGGUUACAUUUGUAUUCACUUAGGUGUGUGUGUGUGUGUGUGUGUGUGUGUGUAUGUGUUCAAGGCUUGGUGGAACUUAUUACAACCUCACAGGUUGUUUGAGAACAAUUUGAUAAAGUCUUUGCAAAAAACCCCGAGUCAAUAAAAAGUGCUUCAAAAUGGAUGGAAAAGUAUGACAAGUCUCAUCUUCAGGGAGGAAAUAUCAGAAAGGCAAAUGUAUGGCAUUGCUUAUUAGCAAUAAGAGUUAGAUCAAACAAAUCAUUCCACUCAGUUAGGAAGGCAAACUACCUGUAAUUCUAAUUUCCUUUUUAAGGUGGGUAGAGGACAAAGAAUACAAUGUAAUCAGGAAUGUUCUGUUUUCUUGGAUAGAUUUGCUUUCAAA
rnacentral:lncRNA from 1 species